AGUGAACGCUGGCGGCAGGCCUAACACAUGCAAGUCGAACGGCAGCACAGUAAGAUCUUGCUCUUACGGGUGGCGAGUGGCGGACGGGUGAGGAAUACAUCGGAAUCUACUUUUUCGUGGGGGAUAACGUAGGGAAACUUACGCUAAUACCGCAUACGACCUACGGGUGAAAGCAGGGGAUCUUCGGACCUUGCGCGAUUGAAUGAGCCGAUGCCGGAUUAGCUAGUUGGCGGGGUAAAGGCCCACCAAGGCGACGAUCCGUAGCUGGUCUGAGAGGAUGAUCGGCGACACUGGAACUGAGACACGGUCCAGACGACUAAGGGAGGCAGCAGUGGGGAAUAUUGGGCAAUGGGCGCAAGCCUGAUCCAGCCAUACCGCGUGGGUGAAGAAGGCCUUCGGGUUGUAAAGCCCUUUUGUUGGGAAAGAAAAGCAGCAGGUUAAUACCCCGCUGUUCUGACGGUACCCAAAGAAUAAGCACCGGCUAACUUCGUG
rnacentral:rRNA from 1 species